GUCCUCGUAUGGGGGGCAUGUGCACGCUCUGUUUACACAUCCAUUCACACCUGUGCACUCGCCGUAGUUCUAUGGUCUGGGAGACCCUGUCUUCCUCCUGUAGGCCUACUUUUUUACAUACACGCUGUAACAAAGUUUUAUGGAAUGUGUUCUGCGUUUAACGCAAUACAGUACAACUUUCAGCAACGGAUCUCUUGGCUCUCGCAUCGAUGAAGAACGCAGCGAAAUGCGAUAAGUAAUGUGAAUUGCAGAAUUCAGUGAAUCAUCGAAUCUUUGAACGCACCUUGCGCCCCUUGGCUAUUCCAAAGGGCAUGCCUGUUUGAGUAUCGUGAACACCUCAACUCUCAUGGCUUUGCUGUGAUGAGCUUGGACUUUGGGGGUUUUGCUGGCCUUGAGGUCGGCUCCUCUCAAAUGGAUCAGCCUACCAGUGUUUGGUGGCGUCGCAGGUGUGAUAACUAUCUACGCUUGCAGUCGUCUGCUAGGUAACCCUCAGCGAUGGGGGUUCGCUGGAGCUUACAAACGUCCUCCCACCGGGGACAGCUUUGAACGUUCGAUCUCAAAUCAGGUAGGACUACCCGCUGAACUUAAGCAUA
rnacentral:rRNA from 1 species